rnacentral:lncRNA from 1 species
GCUCCUUCACCUUUACAGGCGAGCGUCGGCUCCCAUCAAAAGCCCUAGCCCCCAAAUCGGCCGCGGCGGCAAAGAGCGAACCUGCGCCGCCCUCGCGGCCCUCCGAUUCGAGGAAAACCCAGAACGAGCGGCGGUGACAUCAACGAUCUACGCCUCGCCGCCAUCAACCACGCCACCUCAGAUCUAGGCGGCGGCGGCCACGGGGUGGCGAGAGGAAGAAAGUAGAGGCGAGGGACAGGGAGUUUAGGGGUGGGGCGAGAGUGAGAGAGCAGAGGCCAGGGUGAGGAGGUCGGGGGCGGCGACCGACGCCAGCGCUGGUGUCGUCUGAUACUCGCCGGAGAAGAAGGGG